rnacentral:lncRNA from 1 species
AUUUAUUGAGUUCGAAUUUGGAACAAUGUCCUGAAAUAGAAGUUGUAGAUCAUCUCGAUACGAGUUCGUGAGCGCAAACGGAUCACAAAUCCGAGUUCGGACGAGAAAGUUAUGGCCGAAACGAAAACAUCGCGCGCAGUAGUCAGAACCCGGCGGUCAAACACCGUUGACCACCGCCCGAAGAAGGAUUUCCGGCGACCUGACCGGCGACCGCCGCCUGGGUCGCCGGAUCUUCUGGAACGUUGGAAAAGACGCGGCGAUCGCCGCCAGAUGAAGGAUUUUUGUGCUUGGGCCGGCGACCGCCGGAUGGGUCGCCGGGCAGGUCGCCGGCUACCCGGAUUUUUCAGUUUUGCGCGUUUUUGGAGUUCUUCUGGGUUUCAAACUCUGUAUUUUAC